GAUGAACGCUGGCGGCGUGCCUAACACAUGCAAGUCGAACGGAAAGACGCUGAGCUUGUUCCUUUCUCGUUAGCGGCGGGCGGGUGUGUAACGUGUGGAUCCCCUACUUGUCUGUCUGGGAUCAUCUCGGAACACCGGAUCUUAUACCAGAGGAUCUAUUGCACCGUAUGGUUCAAUAGUGAUUGUCGGCUUUGCUGUAUGUAUUAGCGGGUUCCGCGCCGGAUUGGGUAGUUGGUAAGGUAACGGCUUACCAAGGCAACGAUGCGUGGCCGACCUGAGAGGGUGAUCGGCCACACUGGAACUGAGACACGGUCCAGACUCCUACGGGAGGCAGCAGUAGGGAAUCUUCGGCAAUGGGCGAAAGCCUGACGGAGCAACGCCGCGUGAGUGAUGAAGGUCUUCGGAUCGUAAAGCUCUGUUAUUGGGGAAGAACAGAUGUGGAAUUAACUAAACACGGCGUGACGGUACCUAAUCAAAAAGCCACGGCUAACUACGUG
rnacentral:rRNA from 1 species